CAAAGGGUAGUUCUAGGGAUUUCUCUGAGAUGCGGUAUUUGCGUAGGGGUCUUGGAAUGGUCCACGGAUGCCUUCUAGACCCAAGUAAUGAGCCGAUUCACAAACCCAUGUUAUAGGUCAGUUAUAAAGGAAGUGUCGUGUACCCGGAUAUUGGCAAAACUAUAAAAAUUUUGGAACGAGUCAAAGGGUAGGUCUUGGGAAUUAUACUUCAUCCGGUUCUUGCGUAGGGUCUUGGAAGGGUCCACGGAUGCGUUCUAAACCUAAGUAAUCAGCCGAUCCAUGAACGCGUUUAUAGGUCUGUUAUAAGGGAAGUGUCGUGUACCCGGGUAUUGGGCAAAACUAUAAGAAUUUUGGAACGAGUCAAAGGGUAGUUCUCUGGAUUUCUCUGAGAUCCGCUAUUUGCGUAGGGUCUUGGAAUGGUCCACGGACGCCUUCUAGACCCAAGUAAUGUGCCGAUUCACAAACCCAUGUUAUAGGUCGGUUAUAAGGGAAGUGUCGUGUACCCG
rnacentral:lncRNA from 1 species